CCUACGCGUGGCAGCAGUAGGGAAUCUUCCACAAUGGGCGAAAGCCUGAUGGAGCAACGCCGCGUGGGUUAAGAAUGUCUUCGGAUCGUAAAACCCUGUUGUUAGAGAAGAAAGUGCGUGAGAGUAACUGUUCACGUUUCGACGGUAUCUAACCAGAAAGCCACGGCUCACUACGUGCCAGCAGCCGCGGUAAUAAGUAGGUGGCAAGCGUUAUCCGGAUUUAUUGGGCGUAAAGGGAACGCAGGCGGUCUUUUAAGUCUGAUGUGAAAGCCUUCGGCUUAACCGGAGUAGUGCAUUGGAAACUGGGAGACUUGAGUGCAGAAGAGGAGAGCGGAACUCCAGGGGUAGCGGUGAAAUGCUUAGAUAUAUGGAAGAACACCAGUGGCGAAAGCGGCUCUCUGGUCUGUAACUGACGCUGAGGUUCGAAAGCGUGGGUAGCAAACAGGAUUAGAUACCCCUGUAGUC
rnacentral:rRNA from 1 species